rnacentral:pre_miRNA from 1 species
UCUUAUGGACGAGCAAAGAAAAUGGUUUCCUCGGAUGGAAUCUACUCCUGGUGACGAUGCUAUGAA